UACGUAGGGACCAAGCGUUGUUCGGAUUUACUGGGCGUAAAGGGCUCGUAGGCGGCCAACUAAGUCGGAUGUGAAAUCCCCAGGCUUAACCUGGGAACUGCAUCCGAUACUGGAUGGCUUGAAUCCGGGAGAGGGAUGCAGAAUUCCAGGUGUAGCGGUGAAAUGCGUAGAUAUCUGGAGGAACACCGGUGGCGAAGGCGGCAUCCUGGACCAAUAUUGACGCUGAGGAGCGAAAGCCAGGGGAGCAAACGGG
rnacentral:rRNA from 1 species